GACGAACGCUGGCGGCGUGCCUAAUACAUGCAAGUAGAACGCACAGUUUAUACCGUAGCUUGCUACACCAUAGACUGUGAGUUGCGAACGGGUGAGUAACGCGUAGGUAACCUGCCUGGUAGCGGGGGAUAACUAUUGGAAACGAUAGCUAAUACCGCAUAAUAUUGAUUAUUGCAUGAUAAUUGAUUGAAAGAUGCUAUUGCAUCACUACCAGAUGGACCUGCGUUGUAUUAGCUAGUAGGUGAGGUAACGGCUCACCUAGGCGACGAUACAUAGCCGACCUGAGAGGGUGAUAGGCCACACUGGGACUGAGACACGGCCCAGACUCCUACGGGAGGCAGCAGUAGGGAAUCUUCGGCAAUGGACGAAAGUCUGACCGAGCGACGCCGCGUGAGUGAAGAAGGUUUUCGGAUCGUAAAGCUCUGUUGUAAGAGAAGAACGGGUGUGAGAGUGGAAAGUUCACACUGUGACGGUAUCUUACCAGAAAGGGACGGCUAACUACGUG
rnacentral:rRNA from 1 species